rnacentral:rRNA from 1 species
GCUAGCGGAACGCCUAACACAUGCAAGUCGAACGAAUUCUGCGUUGUAGUAAUACAUAGUAGAAUUAGUGGCAAACGAGCGAGUAACGCGUAGCCUAACCUGCCCUUAAGAUGGGAAUAACUACGGAGACGUAGCUAAGUCCCAAUAUGCUCACGAUGGUGAAAUGCCGAUGCGAGGAAAGAUUUAUCGCUUAAGGAGGGGGGUGCGUCCUAUCAGAUAGUUGGUUGAGGUAACGGCUCACCAAGUCGAAUGACAGGUAGCUGGUCUGAGAUGAUGUCCAGCCGCGAUGGGACUGAGAUACGGCCCAUACUCCUACGGGAGGCAGCAGUGGGGAAUCUUGCACAAUGGACGAAAGUCUGAUGCAGCGAUCCCGCGUGAAGGAUGAAGCAUUACGGUGUGUAAACUUCUUUUUGGUGGAAGACGAAUGACGGUACACCAAGAAUAAGAGACGGCUAACUACGUGCCAGCCGCCGC